rnacentral:rRNA from 1 species
UACGUAGGGUGCAAGCGUUGUCCGGAAUUAUUGGGCGUAAAGAGCUCGUAGGCGGUUUGUCGCGUCGAAUGUGAAAACCCGGGGCUCAACCCCGGGCCUGCAUUCGAUACGGGCAGACUAGAGUUCGGUAGGGGAGUCUGGAAUUCCUGGUGUAGCGGUGAAAUGCGCAGAUAUCAGGAGGAACACCGGUGGCGAAGGCGGGACUCUGGGCAAUAACUGACGCUGAGGAGCGAAAGCGUGGGGAGCGAACAGG